rnacentral:lncRNA from 1 species
AACUCCUUUAUGAGAAAGGCCCACCUUAUGAGUCCGCUAGGGGGCAAAGUAAUUAUGAAACAGAGAGUGAUACUGCAGGAAGACUAUGGCAUUUUUCACUUUGGGAAUCUCUCACAAUACCUUGGGAUUAAGGUGAAGUUAGGAAAGUUCAGCCCAUAUUUUCCACAUGGUGAAUACUUUCACUUAUAUGUAGACAUGCUUGAGUUGGCUACAGCAAGGAGAAAGAUGACAUGCUCUACAUGCAGUGCAAAAAUUCAGAAUAUCCUAGAAGGACAGACUGGCAGCCUACUGUUUCAUUUUCAGGCUCUGCCCUGAAAAUGAAAUUUCUA